rnacentral:rRNA from 1 species
CUACGGAUGCUCCAGUGAGGAAUAUUGGUCAAUGGGCGAAAGCCUGAACCAGCCAUGCCGCGUGAAGGAUGACGGCCCUAUGGGUUGUAAACUUCUUUUAUACGGGAAGAAACACCUCUACGUGUAGAGGUUUGACGGUACCGUACGAAUAAGCAUCGGCUAACUCCGUGCCAGCAGCCGCGGUAAUACGGAGGAUGCAAGCGUUAUCCGGAUUUAUUGGGUUUAAAGGGUACGUAGGCGGAAACUUAAGUCAAUAGUGAAAUCCCGCAGCUUAACUGUGGAACUGUUAUUGAUACUGGGUUUCUUGAAUAUUGUUGAGGUAGGCUGAAUAAGUAAUGUAGCGGUGAAAUGCUUAGAUAUUACUUAGAACACCGAUUGCGAAGGCAGCUUACUAAGCAAUUAUUGACGCUGAGGUACGAAAGCGUGGGGAGCGAACAGGAUUAGAUACCCGAGUAGUC